AGAGUUUGAUCCUGGCUCAGGAUGAACGCUAGCGGCAGGCCUAACACAUGCAAGUCGAACGGCAGCGAGGAGUGCUUGCACUCUGUCGGCGAGUGGCGAACGGCUGAGUAACGCGUAGGAACGUACCCCAAAGUGAGGGAUAAGCCCGAGAAAUCGGGUCUAAUACCGCAUAUGAUCUUCGGAUUAAAGCAUUUAUGCGCUUUGGGAACGGCCUGCGUCGGAUUAGGUUGUUGGUGAGGUAAUGGCUCACCAAGCCGACGAUCCGUAACUGGUCUGAGAGGAUGAUCAGUCAGACUGGAACUGAGACACGGUCCAGACUCCUACGGGAGGCAGCAGUGAGGAAUCUUCCACAAUGGGGGCAACCCUGAUGGAGCAACGCCGCGUGCAGGAUGAAGGCCUUCGGGUUGUAAACUGCUUUUAUUUGUGAAGAAUAUGACGGUAACAAAUGAAUAAGGAUCGGCUAACUACGUGCCAGCAGCCGCGGUCAUACGUAGGAUCCGAGCGUUAUCCGGAGUGACUGGGCGUAAAGAGUUGCGUAGGCGGUUUGUUAAGCGAAUAGUGAAAUCUGGUGGCUCAACCAUACAGACUAUUAUUCGAACUGGCAAACUCGAGAGUAGCAGAGGUAACUGGAAUUUCUAGUGUAGGAGUGAAAUCCGUAGAUAUUAGAAGGAACACCGAUGGCGUAGGCAGGUUACUGGGCUAUUUCUGACGCUAAGGCACGAAAGCGUGGGGAGCGAACCGGAUUAGAUACCCGAGUAGUCCACGCCGUAAACGAUGGAUACUAGCUGUUGGAGGUAUCGACCCCUUCAGUAGCGAAGCUAACGCGUUAAGUAUCCCGCCUGUGUAGUACGAUCGCAAGAUUAAAACAUAAAGGAAUUGACGGGGACCCGCACAAGCGGUGGAGCGUGUUCUUUAAUUCGAUGAUAAACGAAGAACCUUACCCAGGCUUGACAUCCCUUGAAUUUUGUCGAAAGACGAAAGUGCUUUUAGAACAAGGUGACAGGUGUUGCAUGGCCGUCGUCAGCUCGUGUCGUGAGAUGUUUGGUUAAGUCCAUCAACGAGCGCAACCCUUAUGAAUAGUUGUAUUUUUCUAUUCAGACUGCCCCGGUAACGGGGAGGAAGGAGGGGAUGACGUCAGGUCAGUAUUGCCCUUACGUCUGGGGCUAGAAACGCGCUACAAUGGCUGGUACAAUGCGCAGCGAAGCGGUGACGUGAAGCAAAUCGCAUCAAAGCCAGUCCCAGUUCGGAUUGUAGGCUGAAACUCGCCUGCAUGAAGUCGGAAUCGCUAGUAAUCGCAGAUCA
rnacentral:rRNA from 1 species